GCUUAACAAUGGCGUUAUGGAUGGAGGCAGGUUCUGAACCUAAAACAGAGAAAGAAUUGGCUGACCUUGAUGCUAUCUCCGCUCUCAAAGAGUCUACUGCUUUUGAACUUAAGGAACUAGGUAAUGAACAUGUCAAGAAAGGGAAGAAGCAUUACUCGGAUGCUAUUGAUUGCUAUACAAGGGCAAUAAAUCAGAAUGCUUUAAGUGAUGCUGAGCAGUCAAUUCUCUAUUCAAACAGAGCUCAUGUCAAUCUUCUCUUGGGGAAUUAUAGACGUGCACUCCAGGAUGCGGAAGAUGCAAUCAAAUUAAAUCCAAGUAGUGUUAAGGCUCUUUAUCGAGCAGCAAAAGCAUCAUUUUUUCUGAAUCUUCUGGCUGAAGCAAAAGGGCUCUGCGAGAAAGGUCUUCAGCUCUCGUCAUCAAGUGAAGAACUGAAGAAGCUUGCUAGGCACAUCGAUAUACAGAAAUCAGAAAUGGAUCGUCGUGAUGCUGAAGAGUCUAAAGCAGUAUCUUCUGCUAAGACCAUUGUUUCUGCAUUUGAGACUAGAGGAUUGAAGAUUGCGAAGCCCAUGUAUCAAGAACUCACUGGACUAAGAAAACCAACAUUAGACAAAAAUAAUAUUCUUCAUUGGGCAGUUCUUCUUCUGUAUCCAGAGGUCAUGUCCAGUGACUUCAUAGAGGAGUUCUGUGAGACCGACAUGUUUUCAGCUCAUCUUGAUAUGAUGUUUUCAGAAGGUUGUCCACCUCUUCCUUGGGACAAAGAAAAUGCUUACACUCGUGAUGCUGUUGAGUUGUAUUAUGAGGCUGGUGCUGGUGUCUGUUUAUCCAAGCGGGAUAUUCUUCGGUAUCUGCUGGAAGGAACAGCUGCUUCUCAUGUGGAAGACUUUGGUGAUGAGGAGAGCGCUUCUGCUCAGAGUUCAACCAAGGGUAGCAUUUCACAAGAUGUCCCUGGAUGGGUUAAAAUUAAUGAGAAGACAACACUUUAUAAUGUUCUAAAGGAACCGCGGUGUGUAGUUCCUGGGCUUCCUGUGUUUUGGGUUGUCUCGAGGAACUCAAGCUUCUAUAAUGAGUUCAAAUCUGGAAAUUGGUCUUCUCCAAAACUUCUAUGAAUUUGUCGUGGAGUUGGAAGUCCAUUUUGAGUUCCUAUUGUCUUGCAAGUACACUCAAUGUACAAAACACUCCGUUCCGUGUUUGAUAAUAUAACUGGGGUUCAUUCGAUAUAAGUUCAUUUUGUCCAUGUAGAGAGCGGAGCGUUAGGGUACUUGCUCAUAUUUUG
rnacentral:misc_RNA from 1 species